UAUAACCUUCACUUUUCCUAGAUAAGGAGACCUCUUUAUUCUCUAGUUUUUUGUCGUCAUAUUUUUUCUUCUCUCCUAAAAAAUCCGUGAAGGAAAGUUAUAUGCGAUCUUAAUAAAUCCGGCUAAAACCUAAUCGAAUGUUGAAGAAGUUGAAGAAGAUAACUCUUGAUGAAUCUCCUAACAGGAAACAAAAUAAAGCUCAACCCUCGAAAAAUUGGAAUCUUUGAUUUUUAUGUUUAUAAGAAAUUUGUGAUAUUGCAUGAAUGAAUUUCAACCUCAAAUUCCCAACACCCUGAUUGCAAACUCAAAGAAAGAUGAGCUACAGAGAAGCAGAGGAGGAGAAAAUGGAAUGAAAACCCCCGUAGAAGAUAAUUCAGGUAAGGGGUGGCCUAAAAACCCCUCCUUCCAUUAUAGAGAACUUAUCCAUUCAACUUGGUGCACGUAAUGCGCAAUUUGAAUCGGGACUGGAUCAAGAGGAUAGUAAGAUAUUGAUCUUUGCAGGGCUUACCUUGUAGGAUUAGAAGACACUACAAUGGAAGAGAGCGCAACAGCAUUCUGGGAUCGUGUUCUUCACUAUUUUGUCAACUCAAAUGGUAAUUAUCAAGGAAGAACUCCAGAAUGUCUAUCAGAAAGGUUCGGGGGCAUACGUGAUUGUUGUCUUGAAUAUGGAUCAAGAAGCUGCAAUUCUUGCAUAUGCUGCAUCUGUAGGGCGCGAAUUCAAAUUCAUGGAGGCUUAUGAAAUUAUCAAAGGAGAUGUUUUAAGUUUGUAUUAAACUUGCAUUAAGCAUUAUGGAACUAAUAAAGUUUUCUUUUGAUUAUGAUUAUGAGAAACAAGAUUUGUUUGUUUUAUUGCAUUGAAAACAGUAAUUCUUUUCA